rnacentral:rRNA from 1 species
AGCUCCAAUAGCGUAUAUUAAAGUUGCUGCAGUUAAAAAGCUCGUAGUUGGAUUUGUGGGAUGGCCGUCCGGCGGGGGGCCAUUUAUUGGUCCCGUUUGUCCUGGUUUUCGGCCUUCCCUUUCUCGGGUCUAGCGUAUUGGCUGGCAUUAGGUUGUCGGCCGCUUCGCGCCCGUCGUUUACUGUGAAAAAAUUAGAGUGUUCAAAGCAGGCAUUACGCGCCCGAAUACAUGAGCAUGGAAUAAUGGAAUAGGACUUUGGUUCUAUUUUGUUGGUUUCCUGGACCGAAGUAAUGAUUAAGAGGGACAAUUGGGGGCGUCCGUAUUUCGUUGUCAGAGGUGAAAUUCUUGGAUUUACGAAAGACGAACAACUGCGAAAGCAUUUGCCAAGAGUGUUUUCAUU